CCUACGGGAGGCAGCAGUGAGGAAUAUUGGUCAAUGGGCUUACGCCUGAACCAGCCAAGUCGCGUGAGGGAAGACUGCCCUAUGGGUUGUAAACCUCUUUUGUCAGGGAGCAAUUGGCGCUACGUGUAGCGUUAUCGAGAGUACCUGAAGAAAAAGCAUCGGCUAACUCCGUGCCAGCAGCCGCGGUAAUACGGAGGAUGCGAGCGUUAUCCGGAUUUAUGGGGUUUAAAGGGUGCGUAGGCGGAAUGCCAAGUCAGCGGUAAAAUCGCGGGGCUCAACCUGGCUCCGGCGUUGAAACUGGCGGUGGUGAGUGGGCGAGAGUUAUGCGGAGUGCGUGGGGUAGCGGGGAAAUGCAGAGAUAUCACGAAGAACUCGGAUGGCGAAGGCAGCAUACCGGCGCCCAACGGACGUGGAAGCACGAAGGUGUGGGUAUCGAACAGGAUGAGAGACCCGGGUAGGC
rnacentral:rRNA from 1 species